UUUGAUGGCGACCGGCGCACGGGUGAGUAACACGUAUCCAACCUGCCGAUGACUCGGGGAUAGCCUUUCGAAAGAAAGAUUAAUACCCGAUGGCAUAGUUCUUCCGCAUGGUGGAACUAUUAAAGAAUUUCGGUCAUCGAUGGGGAUGCGUUCCAUUAGGUUGUUGGCGGGGUAACGGCCCACCAAGCCUUCGAUGGAUAGGGGUCCUGAGAGGAAGGUCCCCCACAUUGGAACUGAGACACGGUCCAAACUCCUACGGGAGGCAGCAUG
rnacentral:rRNA from 1 species